rnacentral:rRNA from 1 species
ACGGAAGGCAGCAGUGGGGAAUAUUGCACAAUGGGGGAAACCCUGAUGCAGCGACGCCGCGUGAGUGAAGAAGUAUUUCGGUAUGUAAAGCUCUAUCAGCAGGGAAGAAAAUGACGGUACCUGACUAAGAAGCCCCGGCUAACUACGUGCCAGCAGCCGCGGUAAUACGUAGGGGGCAAGCGUUAUCCGGAUUUACUGGGUGUAAAGGGAGCGUAGACGGUAAUGCAAGUCAGAAGUGAAAGCCCAGGGCUCAACCGUGGGACUGCUUUUGAAACUGCAAUACUGGAGUGCAGGAGAGGUAAGUGGAAUUCCUAGUGUAGCGGUGAAAUGCGUAGAUAUUAGGAGGAACACCAGUGGCGAAGGCGGCUUACUGGACGAUAACUGACGUUGAGGCUCGAAAGCGUGGGGAGCAAACAGGAUUAGAUACCCUGGUA